GUUUGAUCCUGGCUCAGGAUGAACGCUGGCGGCGUGCUUAACACAUGCAAGUCGAACGAUGAAGAGAGCUUGCUCUUGGAUUAGUGGCGAACGGGUGAGUAACACGUGAGUAACCUGCCCUUAACUCUGGGAUAAGCCUGGGAAACUGGGUCUAAUACCGGAUAUGACCUGUCACCGCAUGGUGGUGGGUGGAAAGAUUUUUUGGUUUUGGAUGGACUCGCGGCCUAUCAGCUUGUUGGUGAGGUAAUGGCUCACCAAGGCGACGACGGGUAGCCGGCCUGAGAGGGUGACCGGCCACACUGGGACUGAGACACGGCCCAGACUCCUACGGGAGGCAGCAGUGGGGAAUAUUGGACAAUGGGGGCAACCCUGAUCCAGCGACGCCGCGUGUGUGAAGAAGGCCUGCGGGUUGUAAAGCACUUUUAGUGGGGAUGAAAUGUGCAGGGUUAAUACCUCUGCAUUUUGACCUAACCCACAGAAAAAGCACCGGCUAACUCUGUGCCAGCAGCCGCGGUAAUAGCUG
rnacentral:rRNA from 1 species